rnacentral:rRNA from 1 species
GAUAGGUGGGAGGCUUAGAAGUGUGGACGCCAGUCUGCAUGGAGCCGACCUUGAAAUACCACCCUUUAAUGUUUGAUGUUCUAACGUUGACCCGUAAUCCGGGUUGCGGACAGUGUCUGGUGGGUAGUUUGACUGGGGCGGUCUCCUCCUAAAGAGUAACGGAGGAGCACGAAGGUUGGCUAAUCCUGGUCGGACAUCAGGAGGUUAGUGCAAUGGCAUAAGCCAGCUUGACUGCGAGCGUGACGGCGCGAGCAGGUGCGAAAGCAGGUCAUAGUGAUCCGGUGGUUCUGAAUGGAAGGGCCAUCGCUCAACGGAUAAAAGGUACUCCGGGGAUAACAGGCUGAUACCGCCCAAGAGUUCAUAUCGACGGCGGUGUUUGGCACCUCGAUGUCGGCUCAUCACAUCCUGGGGCUGAAGUAGGUCCCAAGGGUAUGGCUGUUCGCCAUUUAAAGUGGUACGCGAGCUGGGUUUAGAACGUCGUGAGACAGUUCGGUCCCUAUCUGCC